AGAGGAAGACAGACAGUACAGGCCAAAAGCUUGGACACACAUUCUCAUUAAUUGCGUUUCCUUUUCUUU